AAAGAGAAAGAGAAAGAGAAAGAGAAAGAGAAAGAGUUAAGAAUUAGUGGAGACACUGGGGUGGUUCACUCCCAAAUUGUUUACAAUGAUAAUUAUUCUCCUUCUCUUCUCAACCCCUCUCUCUCUCC
rnacentral:ribozyme from 13 species